UUAUUUUUAUUUUUAUGACAAGGGAACCCGCAGCCGCUACUCUUUUGGUGCGCACAGGAGCCGCUCCUGUGCAAUAGCCCGCAAACUACACCGGAGAGAUAACCCGCACUAGGCAAGCCUUGUGCGACGAGCUCGACCCAGAGGGCAAAUCCCCUGCUGUCGUUGGCAGGGGUUUCGAAUCUGAGACCUCCAUUUCAUGCUCAACCAACUGAACCAUCCUUGCGGACCGGACUCUUUUAUGGAUCCGAAUGUUCCCCCCGGGGCUGAUGAUCACCCGAGGCCCGCUGUUCACCCGGGGCCCGCUGAUAGAUCAGUAUUGUCUUUGCAAGACAAUCAUAGGUCAGAGUUAUUAUGGGUCGGUACUAUAGGGAUAUCUACUAGGCUCUGUCCCCGUAGGCUGCAGAGAGCGUGGACUCUUUUACGCGAGCACCCCCCACACCCUCGCGUGUUGGAGAUAUUGUUUCGGGGUGGCAUCUACCGUUGCGUGUCCGUUGGUCGGGUACAACAUGAUUGGGCACUCAUCACGAUCAUGGUUGAGCGGUGGAGGCCAGAGACACAUACCUUCGAUCUUCGCACUGGUGAGGCCACGAUUACACUUGAGGAUGUAGAGGUCCUCUUUGGAUUGCGGGUUGAUGGAGAGCCACUGUACACUCGGUACGAGCCUCCUCCUGGUCGGACGUGGGUGACAGAGUUGACUUGGUACGAGCCUUCUCCAGUUAUGGGCGUGGGAGAGGAUGCUGCCUUUUCAGCCCGUACCUAGACAUCACCUCGAAAUUGACAUGCCUUAUGCGAGGAGGUGGACAGCGGGUUUUGACCGGGAUGUCGAUACGCACCACAGUAUUCUUCCAUUCCGGGACCAGCUUGAUCACAUGACGGAUGAUGCGCUAUUUAUAUGGACGUCGUACGCUGCUAUAUUAGAUGGUUUGCCCCCCUUCUGUAGGGCAGGUCAGGGGGUUUGGAGGUCGUGGUGUCCAUUGAUACACCUGGACAUCGUAGAGGAUCACAUGCCCGAGUGUGUCUUACGACAGUUUGGCCAUACACAGAGUAUACCCCCUGAUGUCCGUCAUGAGCUCCGACACUACCAGCGGGACGAUCGGGCUGCCAUUGAUGAUAAUUUUUUGGCUUUCAUGGAUGUCCAGCUCCACCGUUGGAAGAACAGGUUGGGCACUUUAGCGGUGGUCGGCCAUUUGACUCCCAUUGAGCAUUAUAUGCGUUGGUAUCAUCAGAUCACACGCCGAUUGAUUGGCAACCCAGCUUUGCGUUCCCCUAGGGAUGUAGGAUAUUCAGCACUCGCGGGGCAGUACGAGGCAUUGCUGGUGGCUGUACAGCGUUUACGCAUCUUAGGGUUAGAGCAUAUGCCUUAUCCUAGGCUUGCGGGGCUUGCCGCGGAGAUGGUUAGGAUUUUCGAGGAUGGUAUCCGCCAGGCAGGCGAGAUUAGGCGCAUGGCGGAGCCUGUUCCGGAGGCUGAGUAUCAGGCAACACCGAGGGCUCCCAGAGGAGGAGGCCGUGCUGCCGGAGAACGCCGUGCUGGCAGAGGACGCGGCGCUGCUGCCGGAGGACCUGGUGGUGGAGGACUGGUAGAUGAGGCGGAUGAGGCCGAUCCCAUUCCAGAGGGCGUUCACGGUCUAGUCCAUCCGCAGCCCUUCCAGGCCGGUGGCAGCUCACCUAGAGACUCACCUACGUUUACGCCGGCGCUCUUACUUGCUGAGAUACCCGGGUCUUCAUCACAGCCGAGCCAUAAUGCAUACAUGGAGGAGCGUGAUAACGUUGAUUGAGCGGCGUUACGCGCUUCAUUAGCUGAUGAGCGGCCUGUGAGGAAUUUAGAGAGAGCCCGAAUUCUUGACUUUGAUGAGUUUUUGAUCCCGGAUUCGGCGCCAAUGGGUCCAUCAGAGCCACCCACUCAGCCUGCCGAGGCAGAGGUGUCUUCUCAUGAGACUACCGAGGCGUAUGCUUCGGCGCCAGCGGGUUCAUCAGAGCCACCCACUCAGCCAUUUUCUCAUGGGUCUGCCGAGCCAGCAGUGUCUUCCCAUAUGACUACCGAGCCACAGGAUUCGGCGCCAGUGGGUCCACAAGAGCUGCCCAUUCCGGAGCAUUCUCAUCUGCCUGCCGAGGCAGAGGUGUCUUCUCAUGAGACUACCGAGGCGCAUCAUCUCGUCCAGGAGACUACCUCAUAUUCACCAUCACACCCAUCUCAGGAGGCUACAGACCCAUCUCGGGAGCCUUCUCAAGCGCCCGUUGACACACAAGUUUGAUUAAAUAAAUAACGUUAAUGUAUUCAACAUAAAUAAGAAAUGGUACUAAUAUUUAUAUAUUUUUCAGGUUCAUCCUUCGGCGCCUGCGGUGGCGACUCCCGAUGAGGAAGAGGUCCAGUUUCCAGACCCAGCUCAGCCUGAGGUUCUGAGCGUGCUAACGGGACAAGAUCCCAAGAAGAAGCACGUUCUGGUUAAGGGCGCAAGGGCUAGGGGAAGAGGAGAUGAUCAUGACUUGGAGCGCCCGGUUAUUAAGAGGAAAAAGGGCGACGGAAACGAUGGCGAGGGCGGUGGGGAUGGUAUGAGCCUUAGGCCUAGGGAUAGUCUCCGACAUACUACAUGUGGGACCCAUUAGUGUAUAUACAUUAAUGUUGUACAAUUUAUCAUAAAUAUUAUACAUUUUUUGCAUAUUUAUAAAUAUUA